GAUGAACGCUGGCGGUAUGCCUAACACAUGCAAGUCGUACGAGAGUUUUUAACUCUAGUGGCGGACGGGUGAGUAACACGUGAGAAUUUGCCUUUAGGAGGGGGACAACAAUUGGAAACGAAUGCUAAUACCCCAUAUGCUUUCGAGUGAAAUGGAUUUUAUCCGCCUAGAGAGAAGCUCGCGGCUGAUUAGCUUGUUGGUAAGGUAAGAGCUUACCAAGGCGACGAUCAGUAUCUGGUUUGAGAGGACGAUCAGACACACUGGAACUGAGACACGGUCCAGACUCCUACGGAGGCAGCAGUGGGGAAUUUUCCGCAAUGGGCGAAAGCCUGACGGAGCAAUACCGCGUGAGGGAAGAAUGCCUAUGGGUUGUAAAACCUCUUUUUUCCAGGGAGGAAUAAAAUGACGUGUACCUGAAGAAUAAGCAUCGGCUAAACUCCGUG
rnacentral:rRNA from 1 species